UUUUGAGACAAUACUUAUUGUGCAGAUUGUAAAUUAAAAUUUACAUUUAUAGAUUGACCUCAUGUAGGAGAGGAAGACCUUCUGGCUGACUACCUUGAUUUGUCAAUUUGGUGUGGAAUUCUUGUCUGCUCUUCUACUUGCUGAAAGGUCUCAUUUCGAUGUACUGUUGCAACUCACUUCUCAUUCCCAGCAACAAGCAUGAAGACGCAAUCUCAAAGGGGCAAUGAGUUCACAUCCAGAAGAAUUGAAGAUA